rnacentral:rRNA from 1 species
UUCGGCUUUUGUUGGUUUUAAAAGUCCAUUGGAGAUUAUGGGGCAGUGUGACAAGCGGCUGGGUGGUUAUUCCACACACACUCCUUUUGGACGUGUGUGUGGCACUCGUCGCCUUUGUGGGAAAUCCGUGUGGCACUGUUUGUUGUUGGCAGACUUCGGUCUUGCCUUCGCAUCUCACACGUGUCAUGCCUUCCCUCAACUCACGGCAUCCAGGAAUGAAGGAGGGUAGUUCGGGGGAGAACGUACUCGAAGAUGAUUAGAGACCAUUGUAGUCCACACUGCAAACGAUGACACCCAUGAAUUGGGGAGUUUUUGGUCGUAGGCGUGGUCGGGUUUGAUUACUUUUUCAUCCCGUUCCUCGUCUCGCCAAUGAAUAUCAAUUUACGUGCAUAUUCUUUUUGGUCCUCGUUUUUACGGCGAGGGCCUUUAACGGGAAUAUCCUCAGC